rnacentral:rRNA from 1 species
UACGUAGGGGGCAAGCGUUGUCCGGAUUUAUUGGGCGUAAAGAGCGUGUAGGCGGCCAUGCAGGUCCGCUGUGAAAACUCGAGGCUCAACCUCGAGACGUCGGUGGAAACCGUGUGGCUAGAGUCCGGAAGAGGAGAGUGGAAUUCCCGGUGUAGCGGUGAAAUGCGCAGAUAUCGGGAAGAACACCCGUGGCGAAGGCGGCUCUCUGGGACGGUACUGACGCUGAGACGCGAAAGCGUGGGGAGCGAACGAGG